rnacentral:rRNA from 1 species
CAGUGGUGAACUCCACAUACGCAUCCUUUGCUGAGGAUACGGUUAACGGAGCGAAAGCGACGUUCAACCGCAAAAGAAGCAGAGGGGGCUUAGUGGUGGGGUGACUGCGUACCUUUUGUAUAAUGGGUCAGCGACUUAUAUUCUGUAGCAAGGUUAACCGAAUAGGGGAGCCGGAGGGAAACCGAGUCUUAACCGGGCGUUAAGUUGCAGGGUAUAGACCCGAAACCCGGUGAUCUAGCCAUGGGCAGGUUGAAGGUUGGGUAACACUAACUGGAGGACCGAACCGACUAAUGUUGAAAAAUUAGCGGAUGACCUGUGGCUGGGGGUGAAAGGCCAAUCAAACCGGGAGAUAGCUGGUUCUCCCCGAAAGCUAUUUAGGUAGCGCCUCGUGAAUUCAUCUCCGGGGGUAGAGCACUGUUUCGGCUAGGGGGCCAUCCCGGCUUACCAACCCGAUGCAAACUGCGAAUACCGGAGAAUGUUAUCACGGGAGACACACGGCGGGUGCUAACGUCCGUCGUGAAGAGGGAAACAACCCAGACCGCCAGCUAAGGUCCCAAAGUCAUGGUUAAGUGGGAAACGAUGUGGGAAGGCCCAGACAGCCAGGAUGUUGGCUUAGAAGCAGCCAUCAUUUAAAGAAAGCGUAAUAGCUCACUGGUCGAGUCGGCCUGCGCGGAAGAUGUAACGGGGCUAAACCAUG